rnacentral:rRNA from 1 species
AAACCUACGGGGCGCAGCAGUAAGGAAUAUUGGUCAAUGGGCGGGAGCCUGAACCAGCCAAGUCGCGUGAGGGAAGACGGUCCUACGGAUUGUAAACCUCUUUUGCCGGGGAGCAACGGGGUCCUUGCGAGGGCCCGAUGAGAGUACCUGAAGAAAAAGCAUCGGCUAACUCCGUGCCAGCAGCCGCGGUAAUACGGAGGAUGCGAGCGUUAUCCGGAUUUAUUGGGUUUACAGGGUGCGCAGGCGGCCUGUUAAGUCAGCGGUAAAAGCCCGGGGCUCAACCCCGGCUAGCCGUUGAAACUGGG